rnacentral:rRNA from 1 species
CAAUAGCGUAUAUUUAAGUUGUUGCAGUUAAAAAGCUCGUAGUUGGAUUUCGGGUAGGAUUUGCCGGUCCGUCUUUGAGAUGUGUACUGGUAAGUCCUAUCUUCUUGUCGGGGACCAGCUCCUGGGCUUCACUGUCCGGGACUGGGAGCCGACGAAGUUACUUUGAGUAAAUUAGAGUGUUCAAAGCAAGUCUACGCUCUGAAUAUAUUAGCAUGGAAUAACACGAUAGGACUCUGGCUUAUCUUGUUGGUCUGUGAGACCAGAGUAAUGAUUAAGAGGGACAGUCGGGGACAUUCGUAUUUCAUUGUCAGAGGUGAAAUUCUUGGAUUUAUGAAAGACGAACUUCUGCGAAAGCAUUUGUCAAGGAUGUUUUCAUUAA